rnacentral:tRNA from 1 species
GCCGACGUAGCUCAGGGGUAGAGCAGGGGUUUUGUAAACCUCUGGUCGGGGGUUCAAAUCCCUCCGUCGGCUCCA